GACGAACGCUGGCGGCGUGCUUAACACAUGCCAGUCGAACGGGCCCGCUCUCUUUUUUGGGGGUGGGUUGAGUGGCGAACGGGUGAGUAUCACGUGAGUAACCUGCCCCCUGCUCCUGGAUAACUGCUUGAAAGGGCGGCUAAUACGGGGUGUGCCGGCUGGUCCGCAUGGGCCUGGUCGGGAUAGUUUCAUCUUUGGGGGUUUCGGUGGGGGAUGGGCUCGCGGCCUGACAGUUUGUUGGGGGGGGGAUGGCCCACCAAGGCGGUGACGGGUAGCCGGCGUGAGGGGGUGGGCGGCCACACUGGGACUGAGACACGGCCCAGACUCCUGCGGGAGGCAGCAGUGGGGGGUAUUGCACAAUGGACGGAAGCCUGAUGCAGCGACGGCGCGUGAGGGAUGGAGGCCUUCGGGUUGUGAACCUCUUUCUCCGGUGGUGAAGGCCCUGUCCGUUGCGGCGGGGUUGACGGUAGCCGGGUAUGAAGCGCCGGCUAACUACGUG
rnacentral:rRNA from 1 species